rnacentral:rRNA from 1 species
UACGAAGGGGGCUAGCGUUGCUCGGAAUCACUGGCGUAAAGCGCACGUAGGCGGAUUGUUAAGUCAGGGGUGAAAUCCUGGAGCUCAACUCCAGAACUGCCUUUGAUACUGGCGAUCUUGAGUCCGGGAGAGGUGAGUGGAACUGCGAGUGUAGAGGUGAAAUUCGUAGAUAUUCGCAAGAACACCAGUGGCGAAGGCGGCUCACUGGCCCGGUACUGACGCUGAGGUGCGAAAGCGUGGGGAGCA